CCUACGGGCGGCAGCAGUGGGGAAUAUUGGACAAUGGGCGAAAGCCUGAUCCAGCCAUGCCGCGUGUGUGAAGAAGGCCUUCGGGUUGUAAAGCACUUUCAGUGGGGAAGAAAGCCUUGGGGCUAAUACCCUCGAGGAAGGACAUCACCCACAGAAGAAGCACCGGCUAACUCCGUGCCAGCAGCCGCGGUAAUACGGAGGGUGCGAGCGUUAAUCGGAAUUACUGGGCGUAAAGCGCGCGUAGGCGGUCUGAUAAGCCGGUUGUGAAAGCCCCGGGCUCAACCUGGGAACGGCAUCCGGAACUGUCAGGCUAGAGUGCAGGAGAGGAAGGUAGAAUUCCCGGUGUAGCGGUGAAAUGCGUAGAGAUCGGGAGGAAUACCAGUGGCGAAGGCGGUCUUCUGGACUGACACUGACGCUGAGGUGCGAAAGCGUGGGUAGCAAACAGGAUUAGAUACCCCUGUAGUC
rnacentral:rRNA from 1 species